AUACCAUAGUGGGGAAACUCUUUGGAGAAGGUCUUGAAACCUUUCCAUGAGUUUGAAAAAUAACUCUUGAGGUUUUUGUCGGAACUGCAUGAUCUCACUUUUGAGUUU